AUGCUCAGUUUGGCAGCACAUAGACUGAAACUAGAACAAUACAGAGAAGAUUAGGAUGUGACCCCUGCACAAGAACUACAUGUGAGUUCGUGAAGCACGCCAUUUCUUU
ensembl:snRNA U6 U6 spliceosomal RNA